rnacentral:rRNA from 1 species
UUAAGCGACUAAGCGUACACGGUGGAUGCCCUGGCAGUCAGAGGCGAUGAAGGACGUGCUAAUCUGCGAUAAGCGUCGGUAAGGUGAUAUGAACCGUUAUAACCGGCGAUUUCCGAAUGGGGAAACCCAGUGUGUUUCGACACACUAUCAUUAACUGAAUCCAUAGGUUAAUGAGGCGAACCGGGGGAACUGAAACAUCUAAGUACCCCGAGGAAAAGAAAUCAACCGAGAUUCCCCCAGUAGCGGCGAGCGAACGGGGAGGAGCCCAGAGCCUGAAUCAGUGUGUGUGUUAGUGGAAGCGUCUGGAAAGGCGUGCGAUACAGGGUGACAGCCCCGUACACAAAAAUGCACAUAUUGUGAGCUCGAUGAGUAGGGCGGGACACGUGGUAUCCUGUCUGAAUAUGGGGGGACCAUCCUCCAAGGCUAAAUACUCCUGACUGACCGAUAGUGAACCAGUACCGUGAGGGAAAGGCGAAAAGAACCCCGGCGAGGGGAGUGAAAAAGAACCUGAAACCGUGUACGUACAAGCAGUGGGAGCCUCUUAAUGGGGUGACUGCGUACCUUUUGUAUAAUGGGUCAGCGACUUAUAUUCUGUAGCAAGGUUAACCGAAUAGGGGAGCCGAAGGGAAACCGAGUCUUAACUGGGCGUUAAGUUGCAGGGUAUAGACCCGAAACCCGGUGAUCUAGCCAUGGGCAGGUUGAAGGUUGGGUAACACUAACUGGAGGACCGAACCGACUAAUGUUGAAAAAUUAGCGGAUGACUUGUGGCUGGGGGUGAAAGGCCAAUCAAACCGGGAGAUAGCUGGUUCUCCCCGAAAGCUAUUUAGGUAGCGCCUCGUGAAUUCAUCUCCGGGGGUAGAGCACUGUUUCGGCAAGGGGGUCAUCCCGACUUACCAACCCGAUGCAAACUGCGAAUACCGGAGAAUGUUAUCACGGGAGACACACGGCGGGUGCUAACGUCCGUCGUGAAGAGGGAAACAACCCAGACCGCCAGCUAAGGUCCCAAAGUCAUGGUUAAGUGGGAAACGAUGUGGGAAGGCCCAGACAGCCAGGAUGUUGGCUUAGAAGCAGCCAUCAUUUAAAGAAAGCGUAAUAGCUCACUGGUCGAGUCGGCCUGCGCGGAAGAUGUAACGGGGCUAAACCAUGCACCGAAGCUGCGGCAGCGACGCUUAUGCGUUGUUGGGUAGGGGAGCGUUCUGUAAGCCUGUGAAGGUGUACUGUGAGGUAUGCUGGAGGUAUCAGAAGUGCGAAUGCUGACAUAAGUAACGAUAAAGCGGGUGAAAAGCCCGCUCGCCGGAAGACCAAGGGUUCCUGUCCAACGUUAAUCGGGGCAGGGUGAGUCGACCCCUAAGGCGAGGCCGAAAGGCGUAGUCGAUGGGAAACAGGUUAAUAUUCCUGUACUUGGUGUUACUGCGAAGGGGGGACGGAGAAGGCUAUGUUGGCCGGGCGACGGUUGUCCCGGUUUAAGCGUGUAGGCUGGUUUUCCAGGCAAAUCCGGAAAAUCAAGGCUGAGGCGUGAUGACGAGGCACUACGGUGCUGAAGCAACAAAUGCCCUGCUUCCAGGAAAAGCCUCUAAGCAUCAGGUAACAUCAAAUCGUACCCCAAACCGACACAGGUGGUCAGGUAGAGAAUACCAAGGCGCUUGAGAGAACUCGGGUGAAGGAACUAGGCAAAAUGGUGCCGUAACUUCGGGAGAAGGCACGCUGAUAUGUAGGUGAAGCGACUUGCUCGUGGAGCUGAAAUCAGUCGAAGAUACCAGCUGGCUGCAACUGUUUAUUAAAAACACAGCACUGUGCAAACACGAAAGUGGACGUAUACGGUGUGACGCCUGCCCGGUGCCGGAAGGUUAAUUGAUGGGGUUAGCGGUAACGCGAAGCUCUUGAUCGAAGCCCCGGUAAACGGCGGCCGUAACUAUAACGGUCCUAAGGUAGCGAAAUUCCUUGUCGGGUAAGUUCCGACCUGCACGAAUGGCGUAAUGAUGGCCAGGCUGUCUCCACCCGAGACUCAGUGAAAUUGAACUCGCUGUGAAGAUGCAGUGUACCCGCGGCAAGACGGAAAGACCCCGUGAACCUUUACUAUAGCUUGACACUGAACAUUGAGCCUUGAUGUGUAGGAUAGGUGGGAGGCUUUGAAGUGUGGACGCCAGUCUGCAUGGAGCCGACCUUGAAAUACCACCCUUUAAUGUUUGAUGUUCUAACGUUGGCCCCUGAUCGGGGUUGCGGACAGUGUCUGGUGGGUAGUUUGACUGGGGCGGUCUCCUCCUAAAGAGUAACGGAGGAGCACGAAGGUUGGCUAAUCCUGGUCGGACAUCAGGAGGUUAGUGCAAUGGCAUAAGCCAGCUUGACUGCGAGCGUGACGGCGCGAGCAGGUGCGAAAGCAGGUCAUAGUGAUCCGGUGGUUCUGAAUGGAAGGGCCAUCGCUCAACGGAUAAAAGGUACUCCGGGGAUAACAGGCUGAUACCGCCCAAGAGUUCAUAUCGACGGCGGUGUUUGGCACCUCGAUGUCGGCUCAUCACAUCCUGGGGCUGAAGUAGGUCCCAAGGGUAUGGCUGUUCGCCAUUUAAAGUGGUACGCGAGCUGGGUUUAGAACGUCGUGAGACAGUUCGGUCCCUAUCUGCCGUGGGCGCUGGAGAACUGAGGGGGGCUGCUCCUAGUACGAGAGGACCGGAGUGGACGCAUCACUGGUGUUCGGGUUGUCAUGCCAAUGGCACUGCCCGGUAGCUAAAUGCGGAAGAGAUAAGUGCUGAAAGCAUCUAAGCACGAAACUUGCCCCGAGAUGAGUUCUCCCUGAGACUUUAAGUCUCCUGAAGGAACGUUGAAGACGACGACGUUGAUAGGCCGGGUGUGUAAGCGCAGCGAUGCGUUGAGCUAACCGGUACUAAUGAACCGUGAGGCUUAACCUU